rfam:Schistosoma rodhaini strain Burundi genome assembly, scaffold: SROB_scaffold0000003
AGCUUUCUGAAUCCGUGCUGAGAUUUCGUCAGAUAUCAGUCCAUCAGGAUUGAUGAGACUCCCAAGAUACAUGAAGUG